rnacentral:rRNA from 1 species
ACCGGCAGCUCAAGUGGUGGCCAUUAUUAUUGGGCCUAAAGCGUUCGUAGCCGGUUUGAUAAGUCUCUGGUGAAAUCCCGCAGCUUAACUGUGGGACUUGCUGGAGAUACUAUCAGACUUGAGGUCGGGAGAGGUUAGGGGUACUCCCAGGGUAGGGGUAAAAUCCUAUAAUCCUGGGAGGACAACCUGGGGCGAGGGCGCCUAACUGAAACGACCCGGCGGGUGAGAACGAAAGCCAGGGGCGCGAACCG